ACGAACGCUGGCGGCGUGCUUAACACAUGCAAGUCGAACGCUGAAGCUCAGCUUUUGUUGGGUGGAUGAGUGGCGAACGGGUGAGUAACACGUGAGUAACCUGCCCCCUUCUUUGGGAUAACGCCCGGAAACGGGUGCUAAUACUGGAUAUUCACUGGUCUUCGCAUGGGGGUUGGUGGAAAGGGUUUUUCUGGUGGGGGAUGGGCUCGCGGCCUAUCAGCUUGUUGGUGGGGUGAUGGCCUACCAAGGCUUUGACGGGUAGCCGGCCUGAGAGGGUGACCGGUCACAUUGGGACUGAGAUACGGCCCAGACUCCUACGGGAGGCAGCAGUGGGGAAUAUUGCACAAUGGGCGCAAGCCUGAUGCAGCGACGCCGCGUGAGGGAUGGAGGCCUUCGGGUUGUGAACCUCUUUCGCUCAUGGUCAAGCCGCGACAAUGGUUGUGGUGAGGGUAGUGGGUAAAGAAGCGCCGGCUAACUACGUG
rnacentral:rRNA from 1 species